rfam:Dipodomys ordii contig_50874, whole genome shotgun sequence.
GGUGACUCAGUGGUAGAGUGCUUGCCCCACAUGCAGGAGACCCUGGGUUCGAUUUCUCAGCACCA